rnacentral:rRNA from 1 species
UGGGGAAUAUUGCACAAUGGAGGGAACUCUGAUGCAGCAACGCCGCGUGCGGGAUGACGGCCUUCGGGUUGUAAACCGCUUUCAGCCAUGACGAAGCUUUUGUGACGGUAGUAGUAGAAGAAGCACCGGCUAACUACGUGCCAGCAGCCGCGGUGAUACGUAGGGUGCGAGCGUUGUCCGGAAUUAUUGGGCGUAAAGAGCUUGUAGGCGGUUUGUCGCGGCGAUAGUGUAAACACGCAGCUUAACUGUGUGCCUGCUGUCGAUACGGGCUGACUAGAGGAGGGUAGGGGAGAAUGGAAUUCCCGGUGGAGCGGUGGAAUGCGCAGAUAUCGGGAGGAACACCAGUGGCGAAGGCGGUUCUCUGGACCUUUCCUGACGCUGAGAAGCGAAAGCGUGGGUAGCAAACAGG